CCCACCCCCUCCUCACCAUCUGUGGGGAGGAUUGAUUCCUAGCCAAUCCUCCCCAGAUUUUUCUUAGUUUUCUUGGUUUUAGCUCAGGGAAUCUGUGCUCGGGUGAUGGAGUGCGUGGCUGGGAGGUCUCUGGGACGUGGAUGAGUUUGCCCAGCUAUACAAUUCCUGGUGCCAUGCAUGAAAUCCUGGGAUUUUUAGUGUUUUCUUUCUUUUAGACAGAAAAGAGGUUUUCUUCUCUUGGUGGUUGGUUCAGUUCAAGAAAUGGUGAUUGUGGGCUUAUAGAUCUCAUCGAGAUACCUGUUUUAGCAUCAAU
rnacentral:lncRNA from 1 species